UGCUGCUCGCUUCUUUUUUCUCUCUCUCUCUCGUACUCCAAGUGCCACCGCUCCGCCUCCUCUUUUCGCAACAUUGACGCAAUGUAUAAAUGCUGGAACAAAAGGACAACUUCCUUGAAGCUUGGCGUAAUUGCAAUAAUAGAGAUAGAGUAGUGCUUCGGUGACGCGCACGGAUGGGAGUCCGGCAUUCUACCGGAAUAUCUUUCCCGCGGCUUCUUUGGCUCGACGUACUCAUUCAAAUGGAUUUGCACUUCUCCGGGGUUAUUCCGACCAUCAAAUGCUCGUGAAAGGCUAAACAAUGUCGCAGAUGCAUUGCGUGGAUCAAACCAGAGAUUAUUUAGCAGAGACGAGCCACUUCUAUUAAAAUGAAUGGGAGAAAUUGGAACGCUCAGCCACUGAGCUCUGAGCGCCCAACGGUCAACGGAUGAAGAAAGGAAGUCCCGCCUUACAGUUAAACGAGCCAAUCACCUUUUAGAUACAGACAUCACCUGUCAAUCAACUGUAUAGCGCAUGCGCAUUAGCUUUACAAGCUGGGAAAAUUGCGGGUUUUCUUUUUAGCGUAAUAUGAGAUAGGAGCUGCACUGGCAUGACUGGAAAUAGCAUCACGAAAGAGUUCCAAAGAUGGCCGACAGUGGACUGACAUGCUAGAAAGACUUUGAUCAAACUCACUCUGUUCAAAUCCUUAAAACGUUAUCGCAGCUAAAGCUAACUUAAAAGAAGGAAUGAACAAAUAUACAUGAUUCCAGCCAUCCUGAGACUGUGUAAUUUAUAGAUCAAUGCAGUUCUGUUCAGUCAAAAUGUACUGGUAUUCAGGAGUAAUAAGGAUAGAUAUUGGUAUGCCAUCAGGGUUGAUGAAAUACCAUUUUAAAACCCCAUUCCAACAAAAAAUUGUUAAAUAGGAUAAACUAAAUUGUCACUGAGUCAUUAUUGCACCAGGACAAUGAGAAAAAUCUGAUGUCUGACAACAUACACUCAAUAUAUGGAUAAACAUAGAGAAAUAUGCACUUGUGUCUGGUAUUACUCUGCAGAAGUACAGUAUUACAAAAACAUAUAUGUAAUGUAAUUAUAAAGUGUGUGGAUGUCAGAAUCAUAACACAAAUUUGUCUUAAUGACUUGGUAUAAAAUUUUCCGUAAACAAAGACACUUUAAACAAAUAGCAUGAUGGCACAGAAUUACUUUUUUGCUUUGUCGACAAGUUCUGUGAGUUGGCGUUGAGUCUUUAAGGAAUAAUCUGUGACCUUCUUUUGUGUUUAAGGUCCUGCCUUUCCCCAUCUGUUUAUUUACCAAACUAUUAUUUUAAGAUCAUUUUUAGUUUUGUAAGGCCAUGCAAUCAGAGGAAAUUCACUAAUUCACCAUUUAAUAGUAACAUCUCUCCCUCUGUGGUCGGACUCUAAUAAAUGAAGUUAAACCAAACAAACCAGCAUGAGUCAGUGGCUGUGUCUUGUUAGGCCGGGCCACUUAACAGGGGUCAAAGGUUGCUGUUGUGUUCUCAGACUUGACUUGCAGGCAUCUAUUGGCUUUUGAUGGAUGUUGUUCCUUAAGUGUGUAGGCUUUGGCCUCGUCCCCUCACAUGCUACCGCCCCCUCACAUGCUACCGCUCCCUCCCUUGCACUAAAGAGAUCACAGGGGUGCAGCUGCUUCAGAUGGCUUUGGGGUGGGGCGAGGGGGGCUGUCCCCUCACAUGCUACCGCCCCUUCCCUCGCACUAAAGAGAUCACAGGAGUGCAGCUGCU